GGAGAAAUGGCCGAGUGGUCGAAGGCGCACGCCUGGAAAGCGUGUUGGCGCCACAAGCGCCACGAGGGUUCGAAUCCCUCUUUCUCCG
rnacentral:tRNA from 1 species